AAGUAUUAUGAGUAAGCUCCCAUUCAUGUCUUAAAUAAGAAAGACCAGCAGCAUUGUAGCCGAUGAGAGAACGCUCCUCCUGUAGUGACCCCCUCAAACUACUACGAAUAUUGUUUAGUAAUGGACGCAUUUUAACUGUAGUUGUCAACUGUCGGUGAUACGUUCUGAGUAAAAAAAAGAUUAUACGAGAAACGAGAGGAAUUGACCAUUUUCUACUAGCCCAAAUAUCAAUAAAUCGAAAAAGGGAUAAGACGUGCUCAAAAGGAAGCACGAGAAGAGCGUCAUCUAAGUGGCUACUACGAAUUUUUUUGAAAGUAUUCAAAACGUACUCCUCAGCUGAAACACCUAAAUGGGCUAAUAUCGGAUUUCUCGGUCCACGGGCUUUACCAGGGCUCUUAAGCAGAUCAAGUCUGUACUGAAUUUCUUGAUCCAAAUCCUCUAUACCUAUUGUAAUAGCUUCUAAGAUCUUUUCUCCGUCUUUUAAGCUUUCAAUUGUUUGCUUCGUGACAGCUGCCACGUCUCCGUCUUUAACCUCUCCGUCGGCUUCAGCAUUUUCAUAAGAUGAAACAAGCGUUGACUCAUAUUGCUCCUCAAGCUCACGUUCCCGUUCUUCUUCUAGAAAUACCAAAUCGUCACCUUGUUCCCAUAAACGUAUUGAAUGGUCAUGGGAGCCAGAAACAACAAAAGUUGGACCAACAGCUAAUGCCCAGACUUCAGAGUGAUGACCGCGAAGUUUUAAAAUUAGAUCAAAUGAUUUACCGUCCCAAUAACGAACUUCUCGAUCUUUUGAACAAGUAAAAAAGUUGUAAGUAUCUGGUUGAAAUGUGACUUCCAUAAUAGAAUCUUGAUGUGCAAAUAUAGACUUGUGGCAAUCGCCAAAAUCAAGACCCCAUAUUUUGACAUUCUUGUCGGCACUGCAAGUAACCAGCAACUUUGAGUCAUAAGAAAUAUCCAUAGAGAGAACUGGAAGCUUAUGACCAUAAAGAUUUAAAAAGAAUUUCAACGAAUCCAAAUAGUAUACCUUGACGGUAUUAUCUAAUAGUGAAGCAGCAACGAAACGACCAUCAGGUGAAAUUUUAACCGCAAGGACAUCGUCUGUGAAAUCUAUUUGUCGUGUUUGCUCUAAUUUCAACGUGGUGACUUUUCUAGUGGUACCUGGUACGAAAUCAAAAGACGAUUUUAGAGACCAGAGUUUGACUGUGUGAUCGGCAGAGGCAGUCGCGAAGUAAGUGCCAUCGUGACCAACCGCUAAAUCCCAAAUCGCGCCAUCGUGAGCUUGGAUACGUUCGAUAAGAGAAGAGCUAGCAAUGUCAUAGACUUCAAGUUCUCCUGAUUUGUAAGCGGAUACGAUACACUUGUCGUUAUUUAUAAAGCUAGCAGCAAGUACAUAACCACAUUCGAUUGUACGGAUACAAGAUGUGGUUUUCUUGUUCCAAAGCUUCAAAGAGCCGUUAGCACCGCUUAAAAUCACAUCGUGAUUAGCGGACAAAGCCAAGGUACGAACGUCAGCACGAUGACCAGGAAUUUCAAUGGCACUUAUACGCGAAGCCCGUUCAGUUAAUGGUGCAGCAGAACCUUCAGAUUUGACAUCCAAAGCGUAAACUUCAAUUGAGUUAUUUUGAAGAGAUGUUACCAACGUAGGUGUACGAUUUCCUGGUAUCCAAGCUACAGACGAAGCACGAGCAGUGGUUCGAAUUAGAGCAAAAGGUUCAUAUUCGUCUUUUAACGUGAUCGAAACGUCCUCAGACUUUUUACGACGGCGUCGUCGAUUCAGAAUCUUUUCGAGCUCCGCACUUGAUCGAAGGCGAAAAACCUCCAGAAGACGGUCAUGAGCUUGGAAUACAACAUAACGGUUUGAAACGUCGUAAGCCAAGGUGAUGGGACGGUCACGGCUUUGACGGGUAAAGGUACCUAAUUGCUGAAAUGCUUUAGUAGUUGGAGUGAAAUUAUUGUCAUCUGGAAAACUGAUUUCCCAAACUUUAACAUCAGAACCGGUACCAGCAGUGAGGCACCGUUUGGCGUCUGGUGAAACACACAUAGCCCAAAUUUCGCCUUGGUGGUCGACAUGAGUCUCAACGCAAUGCUGAAUAGACAAAUCCCAAAGCUUCAUAAAAGAAUCUUUGCCAACAGACAAAAGAAACGAAUCAGACGAUUUACUGUCAACGUCCAUGUCGCCGGAAUCAAUAUCUGUGUCCACCACUGUUUCUUCAGCUGUAUUCUUCGAAGGAGGUGUAAUGAACAAAAGCUUGGUAAUUUGGUCCUUGUGUCCACGUAGUCUAAACAAGCCGGUUUCAGCUACAAUAUCCCAUACAAUAAUGUCGGUAUCCAUGCUUCCACUGGCCAAUCUUGUGCCCAUUUUAUCAAAAUCCAUGGUAGUAACAGCACUUUUAUGACCAUUAAGAGUUAUUAAGAGCUCUCCAUCUUUCCAAAGACGUAUAGAACCAUCUGCAUAGCCCACAGCGUACAUUUCAUCAAAGUUUGCAAUACAAGUAACUUUUGCCGAACAAUCAGAAUCCUUCCAUUUUGAUAGUAAUUGCCCAGUCUUUAAAUCCCAUUCCAAAACAGACUCAAGACCGCCAACAAUGGCUCUGCCUACAGAUUUAGCAGACGAAGAGGGUUGACCGAGAAUAUUACAUCCCGAAGACGCAAUGACACCAAAAAAUUCGGUUGGUUCGUACCGCGUAUAGCUUUUGACCAUUGCGUCUACCCAGACCUAGAUUAAAAAAAAGGCGUUGGUUGAUGCUAAGUAUAUACACUCCUCUAAUAUUCAACAAUUUGGAAAAGAAAUAGCGAUAUACAUUGUUAUCGUUUUUUUAUUUUAGCAUUCCUUAAUGCACUCCAUAAUACAUUUUUGCAUAGUUUAUGGAAUACUCAUAAUAAUGUCGGUUGCGCAGUUUAAUGAACUGCAUUGAAAAGAUUAUUGAUACACAAUUAAGUUUUACCAGCUUUUCUGUUCUCUUUUCUUAUUUGAAAUACCGCUUGC
rnacentral:lncRNA from 1 species